AUAUAAUGUCUUCAUGUACUUGUUUAUUCUUUAAAAUCCAAAAGAGAUAGUACGGGAGGGAAACAUAACCAUAGCAGCAAGUUGGGUGACUUGCAGCUCCUAUACAACGUGAGCUACAAUUUUACGGAAGUAAAGUAUCAUUAUUUUUCACAAGAACAACAUACGAGUUUUGUACAUCGCUUUGAUCUCGUUGUUCCGUUUUAUCGUGUCAUUAAAUCCGGACUUUCUUCAAAGUGAAGUAAGGUGGAAGAAGAUCAUUUCUUUGCAUAUAAGAUAUAGAUCGUGGAGCAGAUACGAGUUGAGUUCUUGAGCCUUUGAGUUAAGACCAGGAAAGUUAUACAGGAGCUUGACUAUAGGAUGUCCUAGGCUAUCAGCUGGAUUGGUAAACUCCAUUCUGUUCGGAGUGAUGCCACGUCAGAGUAUUUCCUUAUGACAGGUGAUAAAAGGAGCAAGGGUAUUGCUACUGCCCCAAAGAAACAUAAAAAGAGUUGUAGGGCUUUGUGGAAAGAGCCAGGUCCCGCAGUGACUAGAGAUAGAAGCCCGUCGCCAUAUCCACCACCACGGGGCGCUUCAUUACCUCAUCCACCAUGGGGCCCUUUAUUACCUCAUCCACCACGGGGUCCUUCAUUACCUUAUCCACCACGGGGCGCUCCAUUACCUUAUGAUUCUAUGAUGAUCGGCAUGGGCUAUACUCAACCGUCUCCGUUCAAUUCUGUGGAACCCUACGUUUCUCCACGCCAAUGAUUCACUGAGGCACCUCCCCUUACACCUGGUUAUGAUACCCUACAGGUCUUCAGUCAAUUGCCUACCGGAUCUCAGCGGGAGGCGUCUAGCGGUACUCUGACAGCGACUCCAAGCCCGACUGUAUCACAUCAUUCUUCAGCAUCUACCUAUAUUGCUCGGACUCUUCAAAAAUAUCGACGGAAGCAUGUCGGAUCCUCCAAAACUAGUGCAUUUUUGGAGGAUCCGACACGGGUACUGCAGCAUUUUUGGAGAGUCCGAGCAACAUAGGCAUCUACUGCACGGUUUGGGGUAGACGGUCUUCACCUUGGAGAUAGUAGCUCUGAGCCCGACAAUCGUACCACAGAUGACAACUUACCUGAAGGUGGUGUGGUUGCUCCACUACUGGAGCAUUAUGACUCAAGUGGGCGCCUGAUCAUCGAGCCUGUGGGAUAUAGUUUUUUUACCGGGCAAAGCUUCAAGAAUUCUUUCGCGGACGAUACAGGGUAGUUUUACGGACUCGCCGACUUGGGGUAAGAUGGAACCAGGCUAGAAGAAACAAAUCUAUCUAACCUUUAAGAAAAAGUGUUUCUGGCUCCCAGAACAUGAAGCUCAUGUCGCCCAAAACUUCGAGAAGAAAGCAGGGCAGCUGCUAAAGGGUGCAUUAGGAAGGGUUCGUGAAGAGCAAGCAAAGCCUGAUUGGAUCCGUCCUGAGGCCUAUAACAAGCUAUUGCAGUACUGGGCGUUUGAUGAAUUUAAGAAACAAAGUGAAACAGGGAAGAAGGCCAGAAAUUCUACGAAGGGUGGCUCCCUACACACUAGUGGAGCUAAGAGCCAAGCGGCCGUGAGGAAGGAGCUGGAACUCAAAGAAAAGAGGAUAUUGCCUCAAGAUGAGGCAUUCAGAAUCACUCACGUGAAGAAGAAGAAAAACAGUGAAGAACCAGACGAAUGGGUUGAGGAACGGGCUAAGCAGUCCUACAUAAGUUUAAUUGAAUUUCUUUUUCUAAAAUAGAAGCUUCUACUUUUCAUGUAAUUUUAUCAAGCUAGGAUUUUACCCUCUGGAUAGUAAUAUAUCUAUUGCUUUUA